ACAGCCGCCGCUCGCGUCCCCGCAGCGCAUGACCGCGGCACUGCGGCUGCAGGGCUCUCUCCCCCGCCCGCGCCGGAUUCCUGGAGCAAGGGGGUGGGGGGCUUGGAGGUGCAGGACCCAUCAUUCCGACACGCGCCGCGACGCCAGGAGUCGGGGAUGACGCCCCUGCUCCCUCCCCUCGUUCCUGUUUCUCGGAGUUUUUCGACCCCUGAGCGCGUCGCUGAGUCACCUUCCCGGAACGCGCUCGGGACGCUCUGGACCCAGCGGGGACUGCCCGGGCGCCGCGCAAGGCGAAGGCGCACCCGCCGAUACGCGCGCGGAGCUGCGGCCCUAGGGACCCCGCGUCCCAGCCUGUGCCCCCCGACCCGCCCGGGGACUCUCGGGUCCCGCCCGUCUGACCCCCCAAGUGUUGGGAAACGGGGCCGAGCUGCCUGGGUCCUCCGGAAGAGAAGACACCGCGGAGGCGUGCCGGAGUUCAGGGCGCCGCCCGGCUAAUUGGCUGCGUGCUCCUCCUGGACCUGCCUCUUCUCGACUUUAAGAAGCGAUGAGAAAGGUCCAGCCGCCGCAGGGAAUGACGCCGGUGCUCCUACAGCCACGGCUCCGGGCGGGGAAGGCGAGCCCCACAGCCGGCCCUGCGACGCCCGCCUGGGCAGCACCGAUAAGGAGCUGAAGGCAGGAGCCGCCGCCACGGGCAGCGCCCCCACAGCGCCAGGGACCCCCUGGCAGCGGGAGCCGCGGGUCGAGGUUAUGGAUCCAGGUUUGUGGGGUUCCUGCUGGGAAGGGCUGUAGGGGGAUUCCUGUUCCUCGCCAGGAAUGAUGGAACGCCCAGCUGGACGAAAGGGGCUGUGGACGAUCGGGAGAAACAUUAUCCCUCACGAGGCCAGAAGCCGGCCGAAUCUGAGCCAAGGAAGGGGGUGGCAGGGGCGCCGCGUCCCCACCCCAGGUCUCCCAGCAAAGGCCGCUCCUCUGGCCAGGGUCAAUUACCGGGGUGUUGCGGGCACCAAGUUCCCACACUAGUGCCCCAUUGUUACCCGUGGCCCCCUAGUGGUCGGUUGCGGACGUGGCCUCUUUGGUUUUGUUUUCUCAGCGGGCGGCCCCCGCGGCGUGCUCCCGCGGCCCUGCCGCGUGCUGGUGCUGCUGAACCCGCGCGGCGGCAAGGGCAAGGCCUUGCAGCUCUUCCGGAGUCACGUGCAGCCCCUUUUGGCUGAGGCUGAAAUCUCCUUCACGCUGAUGCUCACUGAGCGGCGGAACCACGCGCGGGAGCUGGUGCGGUCGGAGGAGCUGGGCCGCUGGGACGCUCUGGUGGUCAUGUCUGGAGACGGGCUGAUGCACGAGGUGAGGACCGCACUGCGCGGCUAGGCCUGGGGCUUGGCGCGGUGCGUCCCAGGCUGAGGCCACGUGUGCUUCAACAGGUGGUGAACGGGCUCAUGGAGCGGCCUGACUGGGAGACCGCCAUCCAGAAGCCCCUGUGUAGCCUCCCAGCAGGCUCUGGCAACGCGCUGGCAGCUUCCUUGAACCAUUAUGCUGGUUAUGAGCAGGUCACCAAUGAAGACCUCCUGACCAACUGCACGCUAUUGCUGUGCCGCCGGCUGCUGUCGCCCAUGAACCUGCUGUCUCUGCACACGGCUUCGGGGCUGCGCCUCUUCUCUGUGCUCAGCCUGGCCUGGGGCUUCAUUGCUGAUGUGGACCUAGAGAGUGAGAAGUAUCGGCGUCUGGGGGAGAUGCGCUUCACUCUGGGCACCUUCCUGCGUCUGGCAGCCCUGCGCACCUACCGUGGCCGACUGGCCUACCUCCCUGUAGGAAGAGUCGGUUCCAAGACACCUGCCUCCCCCGUUGUGGUCCAGCAGGGCCCGGUAGAUGCACACCUUGUGCCACUGGAGGAGCCAGUGCCCUCUCACUGGACAGUGGUGCCCGACGAGGACUUUGUGCUAGUCCUGGCACUGCUGCACUCGCACCUGGGCAGUGAGAUGUUUGCUGCACCCAUGGGCCGCUGUGCAGCUGGCGUCAUGCAUCUGUUCUACGUGCGGGCGGGAGUGUCUCGCGCCAUGCUGCUGCGCCUCUUCCUGGCCAUGGAGAAGGGCAGGCAUAUGGAGUAUGAAUGCCCCUACUUGGUAUAUGUGCCCGUGGUCGCCUUCCGCUUGGAGCCCAAGGAUGGGAAAGGUGUGUUUGCAGUGGAUGGGGAAUUGAUGGUUAGCGAGGCCGUGCAGGGCCAGGUGCACCCAAACUACUUCUGGAUGGUCAGUGGUUGCGUGGAGCCCCCGCCCAGCUGGAAGCCCCAGCAGACGCCACCGCCAGAAGAGCCCUUAUGACCCCUGGGCCGCGCUGUGCCUUAGUGUCUACUUGCAGGACCCUUCCUCCUUCCCUAGGGCUGCAGGGCCUGUCCACAGCUCCUGUGGGGGUGGAGGAGACUCCUCUGGAGAAGGGUGAGAAAGUGGAGGCUAUGCUUUGGGGGGACAGGCCAGAAUGAGGUCCUGGGUCAGGAGCCCAGCUGGCUGGGCCCAGCUGCCUAUGUAAGGCCUUCUAGUUUGUUCUGAGACCCCCACCCCACGAACCAAAUCCAAAUAAAGUGACAUUCCCAG
rnacentral:sRNA from 1 species